GGGGGCGUCACGGUUUCGACGGGAUCGCUUGCGGCAAAGAGGCAUGCAGGGGUCUGGGCACCCUUAAUCGCCUGGAAAAUGAUAAUUGCCGAUCAUCAACUGGCAUACGCUGCUUAAUUAACUAAGUAGCCGUCCUCC
rnacentral:tmRNA from 1 species